rnacentral:rRNA from 1 species
GAUGAACGCUGGCGGCGUGCCUAAUACAUGCAAGUCGAGCGAACAGACGAGGAGCUUGCUCCUUUGACGUUAGCGGCGGACGGGUGAGUAACACGUGGAUAACCUACCUAUAGGACUGGGAUAACUUCGGGAAACCGGAGCUAAUACCGGAUAACAUGUUGAACCGCAUGGUUCAACAGUGAAAGACGGUCUUGCUGUCACUUAUAGAUGGAUCCGCGCCGCAUUAGCUAGUUGGUAAGGUAACGGCUUACCAAGGCAACGAUGCGUAGCCGACCUGAGAGGGUGAUCGGCCACACUGGAACUGAGACACGGUCCAGACUCCUACGGGAGGCAGCAGUAGGGAAUCUUCCGCAAUGGGCGAAAGCCUGACGGAGCAACGCCGCGUGAGUGAAGAAGGUCUUCGGAUCGUAAAACUCUGUUAUUAGGGAAGAACAAAUGUGUAAGUAACUAUGCACGUCUUGACGGUACCUAAUCAGAAAGCCACGGCUAACUACGUG